GUUUUGAUUGCUCAAAUCUAAAACUAACUUUGAACAGUGUACUACGUUAAUUUAUCAUUGAGAUGUGCGUGUGUGUCACGUUUUAGCAUCGUUUCUUGUUCAUUACAAUGCCGGGGGUUCUUGGCUUUUUUGUCAUUACAUGUUUGAUAUGGACAGUAUCCAGCUGGUUAAGGUCAGGAGUUGAAAAACGCUUAAAUUUAGAAACGGGGAAAAACAAUUAAGGUUAGCUUUAGGAAAAUGUGUUUUGUUUGGUUUAUUUGGCAUGAUAUUACUGCAUCUUUAAACAAGCACAAGACAAAUGUAUGUCAAAUCAAAUGUAUGUAUGUUUUUUUUUUCCCAAGCAUUGAUGCAUCUCGAGAAGACAGAAGCCUUGGUAGACUUGUCAAUGAUGACCACCUUCAUCCAGACUGUAAAAUGAAAAGGAUGACGUCUGAAAUGAAACCACAUAUAUGUCUCUUUGCUUUGAGGGACAUACAUGCUGGAGAGGAAAUACCAUACACCUACAGAGGAACUAAUUGGCCAUGGAGGAAAAAGGAUGGAGCAGAGCCCCAACUUUCCACUGAGUUUCCUGAGACCGCCAUGUACACGAACCAAGACAAAGACUCAACGCGCUCCCAAAGCAUUUCCCAGGAUGCAGCAGAGCCCCAACUUUCCACUGAGUUUCCUGAGACCGCCAUGUUCACGAACCAAGACAAAGACUCAACGCGCUCCCAAAGCAUUUCCCAGGAUGCAGCAGAGCCCCAACUUUCCACUGAGUUUCCUGAGACCGCCAUGUUCACGAACCAAGACAAAGACUCAACGCGCUCCCAAAGCAUUUCCCAGGUAACUUAAUUUAUUUCACAGUGGGUCAUAUUACUGUCUAUUGAAAUGCUUGCGUUAGCGUUUUAGCUGCCUGAUUUUACACAGGUAAACACAUGUCACGACCGCUGUUCUUGUGGGAACCACAGCAUUUACUCUAAACAUUAGUCAUUGGUAUGAACUCUACUGCACACAAACGACAGGUUUUACCCCACUAUCGAGGUCCAGUUAACACACGUCAGGACCACUGUUCUUGUGGGGACCACAGCAUUUACUCUAAACAUUAGUCAUUGGUAUGAACUCUACUGCACACAAACGACAG
rnacentral:lncRNA from 1 species